rnacentral:lncRNA from 1 species
CGAAAUGAACCUUCCAAAAUUAUAUUUAUAAAACUAACCUCUUUUUUGUCACGUAGGCGCAGGGAAAGAUUUUUUUAUAAAAGCGGUGAACGAUUCACCGCCUUCGGUAUGAGUUUAUAAUUAGCAAAGACGGUGAAUAGUUUACCGUUUUUUGCUUAUUUAAUAUUUUUUCUAUAUCUUAUAUAUAAUCUUAACAAUCUCAUAAAAAUUAUAACAAAUCAUAUAUAAUCUUAACAACCUGAAAAUUCUAAUAAUCUAUCUAUACAAUUCUAAUAUAAAAAUUACAACAAAUCACAUAUAAUCUUAACGACCUGAAAAUUCUAAUAAUCUAUGCANCUAAUAAUCUAUCUAUACAAUUCUAAUAUAAAAAUUACAACAAAUCACAUAUAAUCUUAACGACCUGAAAAUUCUAAUAAUCUAUGCAUAUAAUUAUAUGAAAAAAAGAAAAAAGUGAGGUUGUUAGAUGAAAAAUUUCAAUACGCAUACUAAAAACCUCACUCUUUUUCAUUUUCCAUCUAACAACCUCACUUUUUUUUUUUGUUUUUCAUAUAAUCCACGUAUAAUCCCACGUAUAAUCCCACGUAUAAUUCUAACAACCUCACUUUUUUCUAUUUUUCAUCUAACAACCUCACUUUUUUCUUUUUUUCAUAUAAUCCACGUACAUGAAAAUAUGAGGUUGGAAGGUAGAAAAAAAUGAGAUUUUUAAGGAUUAUAUGAGGAUUAUUAGAAUUUUUAUUUGAUUGUUAGGAUUGUAUGGAUAAAUUAUUAGGAUUUUUAGGUUGUUAAAAUUAUAUGUGAUUUGUUAUAAUUUUUAUAUAGUUGUUAAAAUUAUAUAUGGGAUAUAAAAAAAAAUAUUAAAUAAGCAAAAGACGGUGAACUAUUCAUCGUCUUUACUAAUUAUAUUAGUAAGGCAGUGAACGAUUCACCUCCUUCAUAACAAAAAUUUUUUCUCUGCCUAUGUGGCGAAAGGAGAGUUAGUUUUACAAAUAUAAUUUUUUUAGGGCUAUUUUACAAAUUUUAAAAUGUUAGAGGGUUAGUUUAUAAAAAAGUUCGGUGGAAUAU